rnacentral:lncRNA from 1 species
UCCAUUAAUAUAUUAUACUUAUAGUAUAUUAGUAAAUCAUAAAUAACCUCUAACUCAAAUAUCCAUCCUAUCAAAUUGUCCUUGUGAUAUGCAACCCGAAAUGGACCAUGCUACUCUCGGGUCAAGUACAUACCAAUUAUAGUUAUGGGCUUAGACACCUAAUCCAACAGUCUCCCACUUGGAUAAGUCUAAUAACUCUUAUUGCAAGUACGACUCCAAAAUCCCAACUAGCAAUCGUAGCUCUUAAAAGCCGUUGUCGAACUCAGACCUAGUUAGUCACGCGUCCAUUAGAUAAGGGACCAUAUAUUCCUCCAUUGUACAAGAUAUAAUUUUUGGUUAAGGUGUCUAAGUCCAUAACUAUAUUUAGUAUGUACUUGACCCAGCAUGGCAUGGUCCAUUUGGGUUGCAUCGACAUUAGGGAUGAACAUAGGCGGGNNNNNNNNNNNNNNNNNNNNNNNNNNNNNNNNNNNNNNNNNNAACCGGAACCAAAACCGCUCUAGGCAGUUCUUAAAUGUUUGGAACCAAUCCCGGAACCGGCGGUUCCGAUUCCAGGAGCGGGUAACCCGGUUACAUUAAUUUUCUUAACUUUUGUCGAUAAAACCGCAAUUUAGUUCGAUCCAAAUCAAGUCAAUUCGGACCACAAAAUCGGACCAAUAUAUUCUAAACCGGUCUAAGUAACACACAUAUUUAUAUGAAAUAAUAUAUAUAUAUAUAUAUAUAUAUAUAUAUAUAAACCGNNNNNNNNNNNNNNNNNNNNNNNNNNNNNNNNNNNNNNNNNNNNNNNNNNNNNNNNNNNNNNNNNNNNNNNNNNNNNNNNUAUAUAUAUAUAUAAACCGGUUCCGGCGGGUACCCAGCGGGUAGCGGUUCCGAAAAAACGAGAACCGGAAUCGCUUAAGGUGGUUCCAUAACUUUAGGAAUUGGAAUUAGAACCACUUAAGGCGGUUCCAGUUCCAAAACCGAGAGUUCCGAGGCGGUUCUGGUUCCAAAAGCAGGUACCCAGUUUCGAUGCUCAUCCCUAAUCGACAUCUCAACUGUUAAAUAGACAAAAUGAGAAAAAAGGACACUUACGAUUUAAUAAUAUGUUAUAAGUUCUAAUAUAUUAAUAUGAAAUCAUAUUAUUUAAUUAGUAUUGAUCAAGAAUUAAUUUGGAAUUAAUUUUGAGAUCAAAUAAAGACUAAUUAAAUAUAUGGGGAUUGAUAUGUAAAUCAUUCAUUCUUAUAUAGUGGGCUUAUGGUUCAUCAUUCACUAAAUUGGGCUAGGACCCAUUGGGUGCUCUAUGGAUGCUCCAUAGAGGUUAUAACCCAUAGAUCAUGGAGGAAAAUGAAAAGCCAUGUGUAACGCUCUGUUCCGAAUUGACUCCUGGUCUGAGGCGGUGGCUCAAAUGUCGGUCAUUAUAAGGAUUAUGGUUCUUGGGAAGGUAAGAUCUAGGCCCUUUUGGGUGUUGGUGAUGUAUUAGAAGUGAUCCGGGUGUUCAGUUUGUGUUUUGGAGCCUAGGGGUAUUUCGGUAAAGUGGUAGUUCAGGCUUUUAUGGAAAAUGGAUUUUUGUUCGGAAGGUCUUAAGAAAGGUUUGAGUUGUUAAAAGUGUAGGUCUUCCCAUCACCUUUCCGUGGAUAUAAGGAUCGUCGGAAUCGGGCUUAUAACAAAGAAGUUAUGGCCUACGGAAGUUUCGUGGUUUUCAGGCUUAGCCGAGUACACGAGGCAUACACAAAGUGUACGCGGGGCGUACUAGCAACGAAGGUAGUAUGUUGGGCGUACUGACUAGGAGGAUCGUGAAUGUUCCCCGGAGUACGCUGGGCGUACCAUAUGUACGAUGGGCGUACUCCAGUCAGAUCCAAACCCUAUUUUAGAGUCUUGGACAAUAUUUAAACUCCUUAUCUCAUAACCUAACCCUAAUAUAUUCAGCCUCCACCCCUCUAAACCCUAGAAAUUGUCUUAUACCAUUCAUGGUAGCAAUUUGAGCAUAUGGAGACCAUUUUUGGAGUGUUUGGCCCAUUUUCAAGAAGGUGGAGUUAGAUGCAAAGAUGGAGAUCCAGAAAAGGCUUAUGGAUCUGACUUUUGUGACUCAUUUUGAGCUUGAAGAAGGUAUAAAGUUCUGAACUUGACCAUUGAAUGCUUAGAUCUAUUAUGUUGAGUUUUUGGAUCUUUUGGUCCCAAGAAUGGAGCUUUAUGGUUCCAAAUCCAUUUUUAGGCUUAGGGUUGCCACCCUUGGUGCUAACUAAGUCCCUAAGACAGAAACUUGCCAUCUUGGAGGUCUUAAUGGAUUCAAGCAAGUGUUAUGGUCAUUUUCAUGGAAGUAGAUUGUUAUACUUUGAUUUUGAGCUCAUGUGGGUCGUAUAAGUCACCAAGUCAGUGACUUUAUGGAUUAAGACAUUAUGUAGAGCUCAGAUCUGUAAUUUGGUCCCUUGGUUUGAAGCAUUAAGCACCUAAUGGAUUUUGUGCAUCAGCCGUUUGUAUGUUGGGCAUACAAUGUAGUAUGUUGCGCGUACAACCCUUUUGCCCAGUACGCAAAGCGUACAGAAGAGGUACACUGGGCGUACGCUCUCAGGUGGUCUUGGGCCUUUGUGGACUUUGGACCUUUAGGACCUAAUGGUUUUAGGAUUGGGUUUGCUGAUAGUUAGGCCUAAAUGUAUCUUUAGGACAAUAAUGGAAUAGUUGGGCCUAUUGGGCCUUGUAGCCCAAUAUAGAAAUGGACUUUGCAUUAUGGGCCUCAGUUUGGGCCAAUUCUUGGACUAGCUUGUUGUUGGCCUUCGUGGGCUAAUUGGUUCAGGAUUAUUGACUAAGGUGAAUAUUGGGCUUUAGUAUAAGGUCCAUUAGGAAAGUCCAGGCCCAAUUUGGAAAACUGGGCCAUUGAUGGUUAUAUAGACAUUAUAAUGUUGGGCUUUUGUUUUGGGUUUGGGCCUUAAUUUUGGCUCAUAUUGGGCAGGGGUAAAAUGCUCAUUUUACCCCAUUCAUGGAUUAAGGAUUAUGGUAUGGGACCUAAUUACUAAUUGGGGUAUAUUGAUUGGUAGUGACAUCACGGGAAGCUGGCGGGGUAGCAGCUAAGGAAUUCAUGCGGAAAGCAUCUGCAGUGUGAGGUGAGUCUUCUCACCAUGCCAAUGGGUCUAAGGCACCAAGGUCGGUCCAUUUUAUGUUAUGUGGUACAUUAGCUGUAGUAGAGAUAUGUGGUAUGAUAGUUAGCUCUAUGCUAAGUGGUAUGCUAGUGAUUAUAUGAUAUGUGUUAUGCUAGUUGUCUUUGUGAUACUUGCAUGGAAGACCCCGGGGGAGCCUGUGGGAUUGGAUGUAAGACCAUGUGGGGUAGCCCAUGGCAGUCCUAGGUAAAGACUAUGUGGGGUAGCCCAUGGCAUUGGAUGUAAUGGCAGUCCUAGGUAAAGGCCAUGUGGGGUAGCCCAUGGCAUUGGAUGUAAGACCAUGGGGGUAGCCCAUGGCAGUCCUAGGUAAAUACCAUGAGGGGUAGCCCAUGGCAUUCUUGCAUGUUUAUGUAUGCAUGGCUUAUGUGAUAUAUGUAGCUUUUAUAGCUAAUAUGGUAUGUGUUAUGUGGAAUGUGUGUGGUGUAUUCUCUGGGGGACUCACUAAGCCUUGUGCUUACGGUUUAUAGUUUUGGUUCCAGGUGUCAUCGAUUUGGAAAUGAAGAGCUCGGAUUGAUCGUAGUGCACAUACCUAUGAUUUCUGUAAUGAAUGAUUUUGGGAUGAACUCUGAUAAAUGUUCACUUAAUGAUGAUUUGAAAUGUUUGGAAUAAAUGGUAUCAAUGUUUAGGUAUAUUAAAAAAUAAAUUUUUACCCUUGAUUUUUGGGUCGUUAUCCCAUGCACAUUAGGGUUUACAUGGUGUAACCCUACAUAUGGCACACUAUAUAAAGAGCUCCAUAGCUAGCAAAAUCGGCCACUGUUGCAAGCAAGGAGGGAUAGCCGAUUUUCUGAUCAAAGUGUUCUUCUCUUAAGUUAUUCCAAGAGUUGUGGUGUUGUGUGAAACAUUUGAGGCAUCACAUUUGAGGUGCUAGGCUCACAAAGUCUUAAGGAAUCCAAGUAACUACAAAGGUAUGUCAUUGUAAUAGUUUUUUAUUACAAGUUCCCCAUGCCAUUCUAGUUAGGAUGAAAACCUUGGAAAAUUCUUAUUUGCAUGAAUAUUAGAGAAAACAAAGAUCCAAGGUUUCUAGGGUUGCAUUUACACCAUAGGAGUGCUAGAAUGCUCAAAACCCAUCAGUGGUAUCAUAGCCUAUGCUUCUUUUCUUUGUAUUUGAUGCAAACUACUUGAAAAAGUCGAGAAUUCUGAAAUCUGGACAGUGAACUCGCCGAGUCCAUGGGGGGACUCGACGAGUCCAUGGCAAAAUGCAUCCUCCUCAUCGAGUAGGUUCUUGCACUCGACGAGUAGGAGCCCCUGUGUGUAGAAUUUCGAGCUUUGCUGCUAGAAAUGGACUAGAAUCAUUUCCCUAAACUGUUUUGGACAUAUAAAACCUGUUUUUGAAGGUGUAAUGAUUAUGCUAGUCCAUUUUCAUUGGUUAUUAUCAAAAUUUCAAGUUUUAUAUGUGUUUGUAUGAUUCUUGAAAUUGUUGAUAUGAAAAUUCAUGCUUGUGAGUUUUAGUUGAUCAUAUAAAUUAUUUGCAAAUUGUUUGUUAGUGGAAUUCUUGAUUUAAAUGUCAUUAACGGAGUCCAUAAUUUGUCCUCAAGUUAUGGAUUACCAAAGUCACUUCUUUAAAAGUCGUUAAAGAACCAUAGGUAACAUAAAAUGAAGAGUCUUCAUUUUAAUAAACCAUUAAGCUCAUCAGUUAUGAAUAUGAAAGGUUUUGAAUAGUUUCAAAACUUGCCCUCAAGUUUUGUAAUUUGUAAAGUCACUUUAGAGAACUUUAAUUCCAUACCCUAUAGUUUUAAAAGUCAAAAUUCAUCCUUUAUACUUUAUAAUAUUACAAGUUAAUAUAUAUAUAUAUANNNNNNNNNNNNNNNNNNNNNNNNNNNNNNNNNNNNNNNNNNNNNNNNNNNNNNNNNNNNGUUGUUGCCUAUAAAAUGACAACUUAAUGGGUGUCUACUCUCACUCACCGCUUCCUUGACUGCUGGAGGGUAGUUAGUCGAACGAGUAGGACAAGGACUAUAAUUGUCAUUAAAAGUAUAAUGAAAAUAUAAUGUAAGUAAAAAUUUUAUAAAUUCCCAUUCUUAGUUACUUUAGGAAAAUGCGAAAUUGGUGCUAUCCCAUGAAAUUACACUUUGUACCUUACCAAGUCGUUGGUGGAGUGUGUGUGGGUAACCGGCACACUAACAUGGACUAGUAAGUGGCAAAGGGUGACUUAAUCUUUAUCAUAGAUCGGUGGAGCGCAUGUGGGUAACCAGCACAUUGAUUAGGUGAUAAAGAUUAAGGGUACCAAGUUAAUUUGCAUGGUUAUUCACACCUUGUUCGUGAUCCUUGGCAUCCCAGUCAUAAACUUGAGAGGGCACAAUCGAGAUUUAAACAUGCCAUUCAAAAGUUCAAUGAAUCUCAAAAGAAUCUAGGAGUUUCAAUCCAUUUAAAAAACCUAAUAAUUUAUUUUGUUUUUCAUGGUGGAAAUUGGUGAAUCGUCAUUCACCCACCUUCAAAUAUUUUGUAGCUUGGAUUACGGCAUCCCUCUUCCAAGUCGUAAAGUAUUAUGUUGGGUCCUAGCCUUAAUAUUUCAUUCGAGUGUCUUAUUAAGGAUUCUAUAUCUAAUCUAAACCUGUCUUUCUUCUUUUUCAGAUGUCUUCCAACAAUGCUGCUUCUGGCUCAAACCCUACCGGUUCCUUCUCUCUCAUAAACCUUUGUGGGAGAGUGAUAUUUGAUGGUACCAACUUUAAUGAUUGGAUCAGGAACACCAAGAUGGUCACUCCUUACGAGGACAAGGAAUAUGUCCUUGACAAUGAGCUGAAAGAUAUUGAUGAGUCAACUGCUACUCCAGAUGAGAUCGCUGACUUCAGGGCACAUGAGAGAUAUGCUACCAAAGCAGCAUGUAUCAUGUUGGCCACAAUGAUAGCUGAACUCCAGAAGUCCUAUGAGGACUUUUACCCUUUUGAGAUGCACAUAGACUUGAUGGACUACUACCAUCAAAGUGCCCAUCAAGAGAGGUAUGAAAUCAUCUUUUCCAUGAUAACAACAUGAAUGAAGGAUGGUGAACCCAUCACGGGACACAUGCAGAAAAUGCAAAGGUUUGUGGACCGUCUGCUGAAGCUGAAUGUGAACUUCCCCGAGGAGUUGGCUAUUAAUAUCAUAUUGCACUCCCUACCUACUCGUUAUGAUCAGUUCCAGAUGACCUAUCACAUGAACAAGGAUGAGGUCACACUCAGCAAACUCCAAGGUCUUUUGAAGACCGCCGAAACCGGUCUCAAGGGUAAACCGGUUGUUACUACUCUUACUCCUAACACCGCCCAUGUUCUGGCAAUCAGGCAAAGUAGAGGGAAGAAGAGGAAGACCCCUUCAAAGGGUACCAAUGGAAAGUCUCUUGAUGGCUCCUCUUCAAGUGGAACCAAAGGUGGUUCCAUCACUCCUUCUUCUAACCCUAAGGAAGCUUAAUGCUUCUAUUGUCAGGAAAAGGGGCACUAGAAACCAAACUGCCCCAAGUACCUGCAAGAGGUUAAGUAUGGGAAGGUCAAACCUACACAUGCAAGUAUUUACACUAUAUUGUCUAAUAACUCAUUACAUUCUACUUCUUGGUUACUUGAUACAGGUUGUGGUAUUCAUAUAUGUUCUAAUUUGCAGGGCCUAAGAAGAAGUGAGGAUGUAGAGCACGGAAAAAUAAACUUGAUCAUGGGUAAUAGGAAAGCUUCACCUGUCACCAAGUUUGGACUUUAUUCUUUGUUGCUAAGUAUUGGGUUAGUAUUAGAUUUGAAAAAGUGUUGUUACUCGUCUGAAAUGGCGAGAAAUAUUAUUUCCUUUCAUGGUUUGUACAAACAAGGGUUUACUUUUUCAUUUGAUAAUGAAUGUGGUGGUAUUAAUGUUUUUUAUAAUAAUGUUCUUUAUUUUAAAGCAUUACCUUGUGAUGGUAUAUAUGAAAUUGUGUCGGUUGUAGACAACGUAGGAAAUAAUGUAUUACACAUCGAUUCUUCCACUAGUUUGGAUAAAGCAUCCUUGUGGCACUGUCGUCUUGGACAUGUUAACAAGAAGCGUAUAGGCCAACUCCAGAAGGCUGGAGUCUUGGAGUCAUUUGACUUAAAGUCGUACGAUAUUUACGAGUCUUGUUUGCUUGGAAAAAUGAAAAAGUCACCCUUCACUGGUACUUGUGCUAGGGGUGAAGGUUUGUUGGACCUUAUACAUACAAAUGUGUGUGGAUCCUUUAGAACUGCCACUAGGGAUGCUAACCGCUUCUAUGUGUCUUUUACUGAUGUUUACAGUUGAUAUGGUUAUGUCUACUUAAUCAUGCAUAAGUCAGAAACCUUUGAAAAGUUCAAAGAGUUUAAACAAGAAGUGGAGAAUCAGCUGGGCAGGAACAUUAAGAUGCUCUGACCUGAUCGAUUAGGAGAGUAUCUUAGUAUAGAGUUCCUUGACUAUCUUAGGGAAUGUGGAUUUGUUUUACAAUUGACACCUCCCAGAACACCAUAACUGAAUGGGGUGGAUGAGAGGGAUAAUCGGACUUUGUGAGACAUGGUUCGCUCCAUGAUGAGUUGACUUUUGUUACCAAUCUCAAUCUGUGGGUAUGCCUCAGAGACUGUCGCCUAUAUCCUAAAUCUAUUCCCUACCAAGAAGGUUGCGAAAACACCUCACAAAAUGUAAACUGGGAAAGUUUCCAAUUUAGACCACAUCCAGAUUUAGGGUUGUGAGGCUUUCGUGAGGCGUGAGACUUAGCACAAGCUCGAACCUCAAAGUGAGCGAUGUAUUUUCAUCGGCUACCCACAUAAUUCAUUUGUUUACAUCUUCUACAGACCCAAUGAGAAUGUGGUCUUUGCGGCAAGAAGAGGGGUCUUUUGCGAGAAAGAGUUUAUAAGCCAAGGAAACAGUGGGAGGCAAAUUGAUCUUGAAGAAAUUCAAGAGUCAAGCGGUGAAGGAACCUCAAACCCUAGCAAUCAACUUGAGGAGGAAACUCCUGUUGAUGAGUCCGUACCACUGAGGCGUUCCACAAGAGUUAGGACUUCACCUGAGCAUUACUAUGGUUUUCAUAUUACUGCGGAAGGUGAUGAAUUUAUCAAUGAUAGAACACUGGUAAAUUUGGAUGAGCCUAACAGCUUUAAGGAAGCCAUGGCAGGCCCUGAGUCCGCCAAAUGGAAAGAGGCCAUGGACUGCGAGAUUCAGUCCAUGUAUGAAAAUCAUGUUUGAAACUUGGUUGACAAUGUAGCGGGUCGUAAAAGGGUCGGGUGCAAAUGGAUCUUCAAGAAGAAGACCGACAUGGAUGGGAAUGUACACACUUACAAAGUGCGAGUGGUUGCGAAGGGCUUUACUUAAACUCUGGGAUUUAACUAUGAUGAGACCUUAUCACCAGUAGCGAAGAUUAAGUCUACUAGGGUUUUGUUAGCCAUAGCUGCAUUUUUUGAUUAUGAAAUAUGGCAAAUGGAUGUCAAAACCGCUUUCCUUAAUGGAAAGUCGGCUGAGGAUGUUUACAUGACUCAGCCAGAGGGUUUUGUCGAUGGAAAGCACCCUAAUAGAGUGUGUAAGCUUGACAAAUCCAUCUAUGGAUUGAAACAAACAUCUCACAAAUAUAAUCAUUGUUUCGAUGAGAAAGUCAAAGAGUUUGGUUUUUCGAGGAGUGAAGAUGGGUCCUGUAUAUAUGUUAAGGCUAGUGGGAGUAUAGUUAGCUUUUUGGUAUUGUAUGUGGAUGACAUACUACUCAUAGGAAAUGACAUCCCAACCUUUUAGGAGGUUAAAUCCUGGCUUGGGAAGUGUUUCGCUAUGAAGGACCUUGGAGAAGCUGCCUAUAUCUUAGGAAUAAGGAUAUUGAGAGACAGGAGUAAAAGACUAAUUCGACUUAGUCAAAGUACCUACUUGUAUAAGGUGCUGAAAAGGUUCAGCACGCAGAAUUCCAAGAAAGGUGACUUACCGAUCCAGACUAACGCCAAACUGAGAAAGACUCAGAGCCUGAGUAUAGAGGCUGAGAUAGCUGAGAUGAGUGAAGUGACGUAUGCUUCCGCUGUAGGCUCGAUCAUGUAUACUAUGACUUGUACAUGCCCUUAUGUGGCCUUUUCUUUGAGCAUGGUAAGCAGAUAUCAAGGGAAUUCGGGCAAGGCUCACUAGACUGCGGUGAAGAAUAUUCUCAAGUACCUACGAAGGACUAGGGACUGGGUCCUUACCCUUGGUGGGAGUGAUGUCUUGAGAGUAGUUGGGUAUAAUGAUGCUGACUUCCAGACUGAUAGGUCGGGCUGGGUCUUUACCCUAAAUGGAGGAGCAAUUACUUGGAAAAGUUCCAAGCAAGAAACAGUAGCUGAUUCAACUUACGAAUCAGAGUACAUACCAGCAAGCGUGGUGGCAAAGGAUGCUAUAUGGCUAAAGAACUUCAUUAGAGACCUUGGAGUUCUACUAAUUGUUAAGGAGCCUAUUAAGAUUUUCUGUGUUAAUGAAGGUGUUGUUGCCUUAGUGAAGGAAUCAAGGGAUCACGGGAGAUCCAGACACAUCGACAGAAAAUACCACUUCAUUAGACAACAGAUAGAAGAAGAACUCCUCGUUGUAAAGAGGGUAUCAUCAGAUGAAAACCCAGCAGAUCCCCUCACGAAGGGACUGUGUAGAGUUAAACAUUUGCAGCAUGUGAGGCACAUCGGGCUGAAGGAUGAUAUUAGUUUUAUAGAUUAGACAGCUAUUUCUGAAACUUGUAAAAUGUAAAUUGAAAUUUGAUGAUUGAAUAAAAGUUGUUGUUUAUUUAUAAGUAAGGUGUUGCUAUCUUGUGUCAGUUAUUUACUAUUGUUUCAAUUUUGCAUGUUUUGACUUCUAGAAUAAUUACUUUAUUCAAACUCCCCACAGUCAGUCAUAUGUUGGAAGUAGAUAUGAAUCAAUACUAUCAUGAAUUGGGUUUGUAUAUGUAUAAGGUGCUAGACAUAGGAAAUGGUUGCUACAACAUUCACGAGUGCUCAUAAAUUCUGAGUAUUGGAUUCAAUCCACGCUCACUUGUAUCACUUCAUGGAAUUUAUCUCGAGUGAUCGUGAGACGGUAACAUCAUAUAAGUCUUAAAACCUAGAGAUAUGAGUUGUUGACUAUGCGUUGGUUAUACAUUGAUUGUACGAAAACGCAUUGGUAAGUCGAUGUUAUAAAACGUGCCUUUGUGUAUGAUUCAACAAGUAGUAGAACAAGCAUACGAGUUGAAGUUUAUCUAUUCCUUCUAGUCCUUGGAGGAUUAGAAGCGAUAUCUGGGACCCUUGAUGACAUUUUUCCAUGUAUUUUUCCCGCUGAUAUCUAGAACAGAGGAUUAUAUGAUCACUAAUCUUAAAUGGCAUCAUCAUCUUAGUUCCGUGAGACUUUGAAAGAGCUACGAUUGCCGGUCAAUUCCUGAAGUCAUACCUGUAACUAUAGUUAUUAGACUUAUCCAAGUGCAAGACUAUUGGAUAAGGUGUCUAAGUCCAUAACUAUAUUUAGUAUGUACUUGACCCGGCUUGGCAUGGACCAUUUGGGUUGCAUCGACAUCUCAACUGUUGGAUAGACAAAAUGAGAAAAAGGACACUUACGAUUUGUUAACAUAUUAUAAGUUCUAAUAUAUUAAUAUGAAAUUAUAUUAUUUAAUUAGUAUUGAUCAAGGAUUAAUUUGGAAUUAAUUUUGUGAUAAAAAAGAGACUAAUUAAAUAUAUGGGGAUUGAUUUGUAAAUCAUUCAUUCUUAUAUAGUGGGCUUAUGGUUCAUGAUUCACUAAAUUGGGCUAGGACCCAUUGGGUGCUCCGUGGAGGUUAUAAUCCAUGGAUCAUGGAGGAAAAUGAAAACCCAUACAAAUUAGGGUUUACAUGGUGUAACCCUACAUGUGGAACACUAUAUAAAGAGCUCCAUAGCUAGCAAAAUCGGCCACUUUUGCAAGAAAAGGAGGGCUAGCCGAUUUUGUGAUCAAGUCAUUCCAAGAGUUGUGGUGUUGUGUGAAACAUUUGAGGCAUCACAUUUGAGGUGCUAGGUUCACAAAGUCUUAAGGACUCCAAGCAACUACAAAGGUAUGUCAUUUUACUAGUUUUAUAUUACAAGUUCCCCAUCUCAUGCUAGUUAGAAUGCUCACCAUAGGAGUGUUAGAAUGCUCAAAACCCAUCAAUCAUAUGGACUGAGACACGAAUUAUAAUCAUUCUCUCUUUCAAUAUGUUGUUUCCCGAUUUCCGAUUUAUGAUGACCGAUUAAUUGAACAAAUCAAAUCAGUCCAGGCUUGACCAAGUUCUUAGGGUUGUCAUCACUAAAUCAUUGAGUAAAAGGUAUGGAUAAACUUCGAAUCAUAUGCUUACACUAUUUACUCAUCAAAUCACACACAAUGAUACGUUUUAUAACACCGAGUUAUCGGUGCGUUUACAUAUCAUCAAUGUGCAACCGACUUGCAAAUUGCAACUCAUAUCUCUCGCUUUCAAGAUUAUAAGAUAUCAUCGUCUCAUGAUCACUCGUGAUAAAAUCCAUGAAGUGAUUCAAAUGAGCGUGGCUUUAAUCCAAUACUCAAAUCUUAUUCAGGAGUACUCAUGAACACUGCAUCAAAUUUGUGUUAUGUCUAAAACACCUAGACAUUCUACAGUCAGAUUCAUGACAGUCUUGCCUUAAUACCUACUUCCAAGGUAUGAUCGACUAUGGAUAGUUUGUAUAAUGUUAUUAUUCUGGAAGUCAAAACAUGCAAAGUGAAACACAAGAAUAAUCUAAUCCAAUAUAGCCUUAGAACUUAUGAAUAUAAAUAAAACACCUUUUAUUUAAUCACCAUAUUGAUUACACAUUAUUCAUUGUAUAAUGUUUCGAUUAAUUAACUUAAUACUUGAAUUAGAACAAUAGUUAUCCCAUGAUCUAAGCAUGCACACUAUGUUUACCUAUGGUCCUUACUUUUUGAAAUAGAUCAAUUGUAACCAUUUCCAAUGAUACUCAUUUCUCAAUCCAAAUCCUAUACCAAAUUCUUUCCAUUUACUAUAAUUUGUUAUAUUCAAAACUUAAAUGCAAUAAUCUUUUUGUAAUGUCAAUGGAAAAAGGUCACAAAGACUAUGCCAAUGAUAUUACAAAGUAUUCCUUUUGGACAUUGGUUACGAGACCAAUUCCAUGGAAGCGAAGUCUCAUAUUCAAAACACAUUACUUUGAGCAUCCUUCUUGCAUUAAGGUUUCUAAUCUUACAUAGAUUUUAUGAUUAACUUCCACUUAUGGAACAAUUCCAUAAUUCCAUAUGACUAGCACUCAUAAUUCCAUAUGACUAUCACUUCUUGUCACACCCCAAAACCUGAACGGCAGAAACAUUUUGGGGCGGAGGACGUCAUGUACAGUAUCACAACAAUGCAUAAUAGUAAACAAGCAAAAACAUCAUCCAUUGCAUUAAUAAUAUAAUUUUAAUACAAGUGUGUUCUGUGUAUAGUUUAUAAGUAACCAAAAAUGAAUAGUCCAAAUAAAGACGAGUCUUGAAAGCUCCGUCAUCUCAAAACCUGGUCAUUGGUACUUGUCUACUGGUGACCUGAGAAUACAAGUUAUUUUGAAAGAGUAGAUCAACAUCAAAGUUGGUGAGUUCAUAAGUAUUUUAGUGUCAUUGUUUGUAUGAAAAUGUUAGAUGAAAAUAUUUGUCGGUGUUUGUAGUAAAUGUUUGUAUCUCCUAGAAAAUCCUAUAUAUUCUACUAAAAAGUAGCAUUUGACCAAGGCCCAAAUGUUCUAUGUGUUGUUUGUUUGUAAAAGUGUGUAUCUUUCCCAAGUAUGACUAUCAUUACCAAAAUAUAGUUUACAUUACCAUUAAUGUGAGAAGAUCACAAUGUGAAUGCAAUGGGAAAAUAAUGUUGUACUGUAGUAUUGUAUAUAAGUAACUACCAAUGUACUAACUACCUUAAACCAGUUUGUUAAUUAAGGUAAAUGUGAUGAGGUUGUAACCAUACUUCAUUGACUAGUAAAACACGACGCUCAAAGACAUCAAAAUGGUAUGACAUUCGUCACCUGUAGACCUGCAGGCCCACUAUAGCUAGCAGCAAGGUGUAGGCCGGUCAGUCCCGUAUAGAUCUAUACACAAAUUCACGCUCUUCCUCCAUGAGACUCUGGUUACAAAACGUGAUACAGUAGUAGAUUGUCAUGCCAUGAAGUAGUGGAUCACAUUAAUGUUAGAGUAUUCUAGUGUUUGUAUAGUAUGUUCUAGUGUAUUUUAUGCUCUCUCUGUUCUAGUGUGUAGUAUGCUCUCUUUGUAUAGUGUAGUGUAUGUUCUAUUAGUUUCUCAUCAUAGUAUCUUCUUUUUGUUUCUCAUAAUAGUAAGUUUGUAUUGACUCGUGAAUGAACUGACUCUUGUAUGUUUCAUUGUACUUGAAAUAGUGAGUGGUAAUUCCCUAAACUAUACCUAGUAUGGUUUAAUGGUAAUGUUGUUUGAAUGUCUGAGUAUGUUUGUACACCUUUGCUACCCAAAUGUGCUGAACUGAUGUAAGAACUUUUAUAUCUAUACAUAUAUACAUAGUAUAUAAUUAAGAUUCAAACGACACUCGGACAAAUAACUAGAUACCCUAAGUCCACAACCAAACAAGGAAUAGGAAAUAAAGUGAGUUAUCAGUCCUAAGUCAUUUCAAUCUUACAUAUAUAACUAUAUCUAUAUAGACAUGAUUUUGACAAUAAAAAUAAGUUUAAAGGAGUUUAAUAAAGAGUUUUAACCAUUUGAAUGGUAACAGAUGACUUGAUGCCAGUUUAUAAAAUGUUUUGAAGAGUUGUUUUAUAAAAUAGUUUGAUGUAUAAGAAAAUCCACUUGUUUGACAGUUAUUAAUCACAUGUGAUUGAUAUAACAAGUAUAAUGUUUCUACUUGUAUGCUCCCCCAUAAAACAUUUAAAAUCAUUUAAAAGAUAAGUUAAGGGGUAUGAACUCACCUAUAGUGAGUGAUACGAAUAUAAGAUCAGUUGUAGGAUUGAAUGGUUGCACAAGAUAGAAAUUUUGGGUUGUCACACUUCUGAACAAGAGUUACCUCUUCUCAGAACUUGUCAAUAUGGACCUUCCAAAACUUAUACUAUACUUCCAACUGUCCAUGAGCAACCAAUAUUUGGUAAACCACAGAUUGUCCUCGACAAUUGCUUAAAUAUUUUAUUCAUAUCUCGUUCUAGUCCCUUUGCCCUCUUAAUUCCCUAGGCAUUUGGAAAAUUAUAACAGAUUAAUAUUAUAGCAUAUGUAAUCAAUCCUAUAUCCGAAGAAUAUGGAAUAUGAUUCAUAAUGUCUCACAUAAAGACAUGAUACUUUACCGGUCUUUCGUUAUAAUAUUUCCACAUAUAGACUUUCCUUAUGUUGAAUCAUUUCAACAUAACAUUCACAUAUGUACAUGACUAAAUUCGAUUAAAAUCUCAAUCUAAGCUUUUAGAUUCAAAAUGAAGUAUGAAUUCCUCUCCCUUAAUUAUAGCAAAACAACUUUUCAAACCCUGCAACUUUGCUAAUUGAAACUUUUUUUUUCUGUAACUAACAUUGCUAACUCACAACACUUACCAUUAUAAUUAUGCUCCCACUAGCAUAAUAAUUAUUAUCUUACUAGCAUGACACUUAUGCUCCCAUUAGCUUUGACAUAUACCUAGAAAUCAGUUGGACUUCUAGAAAUCAAUACUUGUUGACUUCCUUACCAAAGUUCAGCUUUCUGAUACAAAAUGUUUUGAUAAGACUUUAUCUAGGCUUCUCAAACUCAUACACCUUUCCUUAGAUAGCUUACAUAUGUGUCUGGAUAAUUUUAGAACUUACAGCAAUAAGUCUCAACUGUAUAGACCUUUUGCCAUUUCUCACAAUUAGAACUAUGAAGAGGGAUGUUGUAAUCAUAAUCUAAUUUGAGAAUGCAAAUAUCACAAUUGCUAUGUCCUUAAAAUCUACUUAGUGAAAGCGUUUCCUCACAAUCAUUUCGUGAAUUAGAGUGAAACCUCAUGUCACUUAGAUUUUAUGGUGUAUGUGUUUAUAUCCAUGUGAAUUUGUCAUAACCAUAAUCACAAGACAAUUUUAGUGACAAAUCCAAACUCAUAUGGACUGAACUUGUUCAAUCUUAAUUUCUUGCCACCUGGCAGCUCAAGGGCCUACCAAUGCUUCCAAGUUGCUAUGCAAAAAAAAAUGAGCACUUAUAGAACUCACAUGCAUUUUCAAAUUCAACUGAAAUGGGCACAGAAACAAGAACAUGUAAACAUGAUAGGUUACAAACCUCAAGUCGUGCGCUAGUGAUUAAUAAUAGGUUUACUCUUGAUUAGUUCUUGAAACUAUUCAAGAUCUUUAAGACUCCCACUGACCUCUUGACAUAUAAGAUUCUCUUUGUUAAGAAACCUUACUUGGCAAAAAAUAUUCAAAAGUUAGUGUAGUUUCUUAUUGAGACAAACACUUCACACAAUUGGUCUUAGUUGGUCUUUGUCUUAUCCAAGACAUCACAACUUACCAAUUUCAAAUGUACAAGUGUAAUAAACAUUUUACUCUACAUUUGAUAACUGCUAUAAACCUUUCUUAAGAUUAUGUCACUCAAGUUACAAUCUUGGAGUAUGACUCUAAGACUUGACUUUGGAACGAAGUAUGAUUCACCUUUUGAUUUAACCAUUUCAACAAUUUCUGAUUAUCCAUACAAGUGCACUUAGAGGAUUAAUUAUGAUAUGGUUCCAUAAUCACUAAGAUGAUACUAAAACAAGAUACUCAAUGUAGGGUUUCAAAGCACUCCAUGGAUGAUGGCAAUGGGCCCCUUAAAAGCCCAAGACUUGUCUUUUCCCUAUAAAUAGUCAUGUAUUAUUCACAAUUAGGGUUAAGAGAGUGAGGCAAAAUGUAGUCGUCACGUUGUGAGGUUUCUUGUAGAGUUAGAUUCUUAUUUCUUAAGUGUAAUUUAUUCCUCAUAUUUGAAUAAAUCGAGUGAUCAUUCGACAUAAUCUUCAUAUUUGUGUUUGUUCUUAUUUUCCGCAUCUUGUUCAUCAAAUAUCAAUUAGGGUUUUAAUCCCAACAAGUGGUAUCAGAGCGGGUCUUUGAAGAUCUGUUGAUUUUUGAAGUAUCGGUUCUUGAUUUGAUGAUUUUAUGCACAAGAUUUUGAAGAUUAUUGGUGUUUCGGCGGUUUGGAAUCAAAAUUCUUGUUCGAUCUACUGUUCAUGAAGAUUUAUGGUAUAUUCUACUGUUCACCGUGGUAUUUUUCUGUUCUUUGAAUCUAAUUUGCUUUGAGAUCAAAAUUUAUUGAUUCAAUUGUUUUUCAAUAAAUUCACACUUGAGUCCAAUUCACGAGUUCCACUGUUAUUCAAUUUUUUUUGGAUCUGAUUAUUACUCAUUCAACCGAUCCAACACCAUUUAUUUGUUCCUGAGCCCAUUAAUGCCAAUUAUUUUUCAUCAAUUCAGCCCGCAUCUUGGUCUUUGAAAUUGUGUGAUCUGGAUCAUAUGGUCAACUCAUCUCCACAGGAAAUCGUUGUACUAUUCUUCGGUUCUUGAAUCGUAAUUUAUGAUCGAUAUUAUUGUCAAAAUCAAUUUUUGAUUUUAUUGAUUUUGGGUUUAAUCUUGUUGAUUCAUUCUUUCAUUGAAUAUCGAUUUUGUAUAGUGAUUGUAUUGAUCUGAGAAAGUCGAAUUUGUCAUUUGUCAAUAAUCGAUCUUGAUUGUCAAAGUAAAAAAAAAGUCAAAAUCGACUUAUGUAAACGAAGAACAGUGGGUUAUUGAUCGGAAUUGAUUUGAAGACAGGUUCACAAUCGCUAAAUGGGUUUUGCAUUUGGGGCUUCAUAUAAUCAAAACAAAUGAAUUUACAAUCAGUAGAGUGAUGUUUGGAAUAGAAAUUCAAUUGGGAAGAAGUUGAUGGUUUGUAGUUGGUGUAAUGGUGCUGCAAGCAGAAUGUGUUUGUGUAUCUGUUCGCAAUUGAUAGUCAAAGGCACAAUCAGAAAAGUCAAAAUUUACCGUGGUUCAGGUGAAUAAUGAGUGAACGCUAACCUGCGAACGUUCACUUGUGAUUGGAUUUGUUGACAUAUAUUCGCUUUGGGAUGUGAUCGUUCGAUUCGGAAGCAAACCUGUGAUUGGGUUCGUUUGUCAGCCCUUGGAACGAAAGUAAUUGGAAAGAAAGAGGGGAGGACCGAAAGCGAACUUGUGGUUCGGCUCGGCUAAGGUUUCGCUUCUUGUUCGCAUCGUGAUGUACCUGGAACAAACUUAAGUUCGGUUGGCUGCUCUUGGAACGAAAGCACUUGGAAGAAAGAAGGAAGGACCAAAAGCGAAUGGUGAUUCGCCUGAUGAAGCUUGGAACGGACCUGGAAGCGAAUGUCUCAAAUGGAAACGAAUGGAACCGAACGCUCGGUUGGGUUCGCUUCGGGUGUAUAAUUGACGAUCUUGGAACGAAGUUAGAUUCAGUCGCUUGUGCUCGGAACGAAAGUAGAUGAAACUAAUUGGAGUUAUAUUUGUAGGUUCGUCUGCGACCAUUCGUUUAAAAUCACCAUUCCAGUCGCAUCCUUUUAUCAGGUUUCAAAUGAUGAAGAUAACUCAAAGUUUCACACUUGGUCCCUGCAACUUCAAGAACUUGACGAUCUGGUCCCCAUACUUUUCAUGCUUUGGCGGUUUUGGACUAAUUCCAGAUUUUGUUGCAAAUAAAGGGGUUUAUUGGUGCAUGAUUACAAUUUCAGCCCCUGAGUUUCUGGAAAGUGAUAAUUUCAGCCCAUUUUCGAGAAAGUUUACAAUUUUAAGGACUGGUGAACAGUUUUGAAUUCUUUAACGCACAUAUCUUUUUCGUGAACAGAAAAAUAAAGAUUUCGUCAAGUCUUGGCGGUUCGGAAAGUCGUUUUUCGUCAUAACGUCAUAUUUUCACGAUUUUUUUCGGAUUUUAUACUUCAUUGUGUAUAUCUUUUUGUCGCGGGGGAGCUUAGUAAUUUUCUAUCCAUUCAAGAUCAUUCUCAUGACCAUUUGAAGGCUUUAUAAUCAUGUUUUUGAUUAUAAAUCGGGGGAGAAUUUGGUAUGGCCAUUCGAAAUUGGAUUUGUGACUUUUCAAAGUUGAAGAUUUUUGAUAAAGCUUGUGGUAGAAUUAUGAAGGUAGCUUUUACAGUGGAAGUUCUUCAUCGAGCUCUGCUAAAGCUUUUACAGAGAAGUAUCCUUUACAGCGGAAGUUCUUUAUCGAGCUCUGCUAAGGACUUGUUAUAUCUCCGACUUCUUGUAUUUUCUCGAUCAAGUGGCGUUACGAAUCUUAAAGUUUGGGUUGUUACAUGAUAUUUUUUGAUGGCUUAUAUCAUUAGCUUAUUUGAAGAUCAUUGUGACUUGGAGGGAGAGCUCUUCAAAGACAAGAAGUGAUUCAGUUUCUUUGUUCUGAAAUGGGUUUUUAUGGCGGGUUUGGUUUUCAUGAAGAUUCUUUGGGAUUACAUUCGAAAAUGAAGUUUAAAGACAUUACUUCAGUGCCUGAUUUAUAUAUCCUAGAGCUCGUGUUUGAAGACUAUUGAAGAAUCAAGAUUCGUGGAUUGCUUCAUAUAUUCCUCGUUGCAGAUCUUUUUAUUUGCUAGAUGCUUGUUUUGGAAGUUAAAGCAUUGUCAUCCAUUCCACACUUUGAGGGGGAUAUUGUAGGGUUUCAAAGCACUCCAUGGAUGAUGGCAAUGGGCCCCUUUGACGAAUUCUAGGUUAAAAGCCCAAGACUUGUCUUUACCCUAUAAAUAGUCAUGUAUUAUUCACAAUUAGGGUUAAGAGAGUGAGGCAAAAUGUAGCCGCCACGUUGUGAGGUUUCUUGUAGAGUUAGAUUCUUAUUUCUUAAGUGUAAUUUAUUCCUCAUAUUUGAAUAAAUCGAGUGAUCAUUCGACAUAAUCUUCAUAUUUGUGUUUGUUCUUAUUUUCCGCAUCUUGUUCAUCAAAUCUCAAUUAGGGUUUUAAUCCCAACACUCAAGUACUCUCCUUCUUUACAAAUUGGAGAAACUUUUAUCCUUCUGCCUAAUUUGAUUCUUCUUAUUAGUUCUACUAUAUAUUAAAAAAUUUCAAUGAUUUAGAAUUACACUUGAUCUUGUAAGUAUAACCAUAUUUACUAAACUUUUAGUAAAUCAUAAUGAAUAGUCUUAUCGUUCUUUGUGGUUGACCUGACCAGUGCACAACCAAGUGUACCCGAUGCCCUAGUCCUUCACUUGACUCAAUAUAGAUGUGAACAAGGAAUUAGUCUUAAUUUCCCAAAGACGAAGGUUCUCAUUAAUCACACAAUACAAGUUGCAUGAUUCCAAGUUUUUAUCCAACUGAAACUUGGGUGAUGAGAAUCUUUCCUUAUUUGUAAAAUCUUGACACUACCACAAACGAAAGAAUCAAAUCCAUUUUCCAAUAAUGUUAUCAAUGGAAACACAUAAACAAGAAUUUUCACAAAUGCCAUUGCAAGGAAACUUAAAAUAAGAUAAAUCAAAAAUUUUUCUUUUAUUUAUAAAAUUGCGGAAAUUUUUUUCCUUACAAUGCAAUUACAAAUGAAACUAUGUUGUUAUCUAUUCCUAAGAAAUCUAUCAUAACUCUUAAGCAGCUGCUUAGAAUUCUGAUCAUCGAACCAUGCGAUCGAAAUCCAUCUCUUCGCGAUCAGAAUCAGCUUACUCUUCCUUUAAGCUUCCUUUCUUUUCUUCAAUCCUAAAAAUCAUUAAAAUGUAAUUACAUUACAUCAUGUAUUAAGAAUCUCUAAAUAGGAACUUAAUGGAGUUAGAUAGUGGGCUUACCUGAAGUAGAGUCAAACAUUUUGACUUUACCAUCCUUGCGAUCUUUCAGGUAAAUACGGCAGCUUCGCAACCAAUGCCCCCUUUUCUUGGCAAUAGAAACAUAAGGACUCUUUAGGAAUGGUACACGGGACUAUCUCAGACUUAGCCUUUCUCUUUACCAUUUGGUCAAUUGACUUGACCAUGGCCGAUCCCUUUCCAUUGGGAAGAGAUUACUUUUCUCGACUUCCAAUGUUUCCAUUGUCAAUGUCCAUGGAAGUUUGGGAAGUAGAUCUUCCAAUCAAAUUUGCUUUACCAGUGCGCCAAAUCAUUGCUAAUUCAGCAACAACAAGCAAAUAUGUUAGAUCAAUAAGGGUCAUGUCAUUAUCUCCCAUAUAAUAAUCCUUAAAGAACCCGCUAUAUGACUUAGGAAGUGAUUGAAGAACCAAGUCAGCAGCCAACUUCCUUGAAACAAUGACACUCAACAUUCCCAUCCUGUCAACGUGUGACUUCAUCUCCAAGACAUGUUCAUGCACAGAACUUCCAUCUUGGUGUUUGCUAGCCAAUGGGGUGUGAGUGACCUUGAACUUGUGGGUCAGGGAGAAUUAUUGGAGGAGGUGGAGGAAGAGAAGUUUCACUACAGCACAAAGAAGUGAUUAAUCUUUCACCUUGAUCGUCUUGUGGAAUAUCAUCUUUAUAAGGAAAUUUAUAUUCAAAAGAUUCGGGAAGACCAUAGUUGUCAAAAGUAGACAUCUACAUGGGAUAAAUUCAAUUUGGUUGAUUUAACUCCUUAAUAUAACACUCAAAUGAAAUAUUAAGGCUAGGAACCAACACAAUAUUUUACAAUUCAAAAGAGGGAUGUCGUAAUCCAAUUGCAAAAUAUUUGAAUGUAGAUAAAUCACAAUUUACCAAUUUCCACCAUGAAACACAAAAUUGAUUAUUAAGUUUUAAAUGAAUUGAAAUUCCUAGAUUCUUUUGAGAUUCAUUGAACUUUUCAACGGCAUGUUUAAUCUCGAUUAUGCCCUUCAACUUUGUGACUGAGAUACCGAGGAUCGUAAAUAAGGUGUGAAUAACUAUGAAAAUUAGCUUGGUACUCUCGAAGUCAUUUAUCACCUAAUCAAUAUGCCGGUUAACCACACACACUCCAUUGAUCUAUGACAAACUACGAGCUACACUUUUCCACCCUUACUAGUCCAAGUGAAUGUGUCGGUUAACCAUAAACGCUCCACUAACGACUUGGCAAGGUGCAAAGUGCAAUUUCAUAGGUUAGCAUCAAAUUCACAUUUUUCCUAAAGUAACUAAGAUUGGGAAUUUAUAAUGGUUUUGUUACUUUAUAAUUCAUUAUACUUGUAAUGAGGGUUUAGUGUCCUAUCCUACUCGUUUGGCUAACGACCCUCCACCAGUCAAGGAAACGGUGAGUGAGAGUGGGCACCCAUUAAACCGCCAUUUUAUAGGCAGCAACCUUAUACCCCUCUUAUAGACCGGCUUCACAAAUGAGGCCUACUAACGGUAAGAUUGAACUUUUACUUAUACAUAUAUAAUAUAUUAAACUUUUAAUUUUAUAUAGUAUAAGGGUGUAUUUUAAACUUUUAAAAUACUUGGUGGUUUAAUUCUAUUAAUAAAUUAUACUCUUAAUUUAAUUAAACUUAAACCAUGUUGUUAUGGAUUUAUUAAUCAUCUCCUUUAAUUAAACACUUUAAUUAAUCAUACAUACUUAUAAAGCUAGCAUUUUUCCUUGAACCUCAUGCAUUUGAAACCCCCAUAAAAAUUUGCAAACACCUCGUGCAUUUGAAACCUCAUAUUUUAAUGAAUACCACUCAAAAGUCUCUUAAUAAUGAUUAACAAUNUAUACUCUACUAUAAAAAGGUCGAUCUUUUUUAGUAGACACACAAAUACAAAUCAUAUACAAAAUUCACAAAGAAACAAGCUUAAAGUUUUUUGUGUUGGUUUGAGGGCUUUGAACAAUUUUUCGAGUCAUGUUAUUAUGUUGAAAAUUUUAAUUUGUAAGUUUGUUAUAUACUAAUUCUUUUUUGUAUUUUCUUUAUUUAAGUAUUCUUUUAAGAAUAUCAUUGUAUGUUGUGGUUGAAAUUUUAAUGUAAAUUAGAUUAGAUUAAUGUUAUCGAUAAUAUGUUAUGGAAGGUGAAAUAUAUAAUAUUUAAUUAACUAUUGUAUAUAUGUUUGUAUCUUCAUGUUGCUUCAAAACAAUAAUUAAUUAAAAAUCAUGGAUAUGUCAUAUUAUCCAUAUUAUCCUUGUAAGCAUUUUUUAAAAUGGAAAUUGUCUAUCUUAUCACUUUAUAUUUUAGUAUAUGUUUAACAUUUUAAUUAUAGUAAUAAGUGCUUUUUAAAAGUUUCUUUCAUUUAUUAAUAAUAACAAGUGGUUUUAAAAUUAAUAAGCAAUAAUUAUAAAUAAUAAAAUCAAAUUACAUGGAUAUGUCAUAUUAUCCAUGCAAGUCUCUUUUGAAAUGCAAAUUGUAUAUCUUAUCACUUUAUUAUUUAGUGUAUGUUUCACAUUUUAAUAAUAAUAUUAAGUGUUUNAUUUAAUUUAUUAAUAAUAAUAAGUGGUUUAAAAUUAAUGAAUAACAAUUUUUAAAUGAUAAUAACAUCAAAUUAUAAGUUACAUUUAGCUAUAAAUAAAUUAUAUUUUGAAUGAACAUCAUUAUUGAAAUUAGAAAAUGAUCGCAUAAGUAAAUAUAAUUAAUCAAUAAUAAUAAUUGUUAAAAAAAUGAUAAAUAGAUAAUUAUAUUUAAUUCUAUUAAUGAGGAAUGUGGAUUGAUGUCAAUGAAUAUUAUUGUUCAAAAUAAUUGAGAUUAUAUAUAUAUAUAUAUAUAUAUAUAUAUAUAUAUANACAUAUAUUUUUCAAUAUUUUAACAAUAUAUUUUUAAUAUUCACCGUGCAACGUGCGAGAAUUCGUCUUGUUUAAUACAAUCCAUAAGAGGUAACUUGAACUAUUCAAAAGACAUUAAGGUUCUAAACAUAAAAUACAAAAUUAAAACUAUUUAAUUAAUUUUAAGUUAUGAACCCAAGAGUUGCACCUUUUAAUUACAAAAGUUUUAUAAAUCAACGUUUCAUAAUUUGAGACUUUUCAAAUACCAAACAUUGAGGGCAAUUUUGUAAAUCUUGAAACCUUUUGAGUUCCAAACUUGAUGACAAGAUUUGUAACUCCAUAAAAAACUUUUGAGUUCCAAAACUUGAUGGAAAGUUUUGUAAUUCCUAAAAACAUUUAGAUCAAAUUUUAAAACCAAUAAAAUAAUCAUAAUUUUAUCUUUUACAAAUUUUACUUAAUGCAACUCUUAUAGUAAGAUAACUUCAAAUCAAAUUUUACAAACAAUUAGUUUAUCAUAUAAACUAGUAAAAAAUUUCAAAAUUUGACAAUUUCUCUUUUAAUUGGAUGGAAUAAUCAUUACCAUAUCAAGAAAAAAACAUAUUUUAUGAAACAAAACAGUUUAAGGUAAUGAUCUGAAUCCAAUUCUGGCCAAAACCCCCAAAAAAACUACAAUCAGGCUACAGAACUCGUCGAGUCAGCUUAUGGAUUCGUUGAGUUCACUAUGAACUCGUCGAGUUCAUGAGUGGACUCGUCGAGUUCAUGAGUGGACUCGUCGAGUCCCCCUUGCAGAGUGCAGUUUUUCGACUUUUCCAACUUUGAAAAAUUAAGCAUGCAUCAAUAUAACAUAAAACAAUCCAUGGAUCUGAUACCACUGUUGGGUUUUGUAUACUACAACACUCCUAUGCUGCACAUACAACCCUAAUGCUUUGGAUCUGUGUUUUCUCAAGUUAUACAUGAAUAAAAAUAUCCAAAGCAUGAAGCCUACAACUAGCAUACAAUUUGAUACUUGAAUCAUAAAAAUAGAUUAGAUGAUUACCUCUUUGUUGUAGGUUGAUGUAUUUGGCCUUUACGAACUUAGCACCCCAAGUGAGAUGCCUCAAACGGUUCACAACACACCAUGAACAACUGGAGGACUUUAAGAGAGAGUUUCUAGGCACCAAAAUUCAACUAUAGCAUCUCCAAGAUCACUAGUGUCCAAUUUUAGGCUAUGGGAUAACAUAUAUACAGUGUAAGAUUCCAAGCAUCAUGGGUAAACCCUAAUCCAUACAUAUAGGCUUACGAUCCAUAUCUCUUGUUGGCUAACUCUUCAUGGAUACAUACAUAAACUUAACCCAUCAUGGAUCAAUAGCCCAAACAAUAUAUNNNNNNNNNNNNNNNNNNNNNNNNNNNNNNNNNNNNNNNNNNNNNNNNNNNNNNNNNNNNNNNNNNNNNNNNNNNNNNNNNNNNNNNNNNNNNNNNNNNNAUACCAAUAAUAGUUAUGGGCUUAGACAUCUAAUCCAACAGUCCCCCACUUGGAUAAGUUAAACUAUUAUUGCAAGUAUGACUUCAUAACCCGACUAGCAAUCGUAGCUUUUAAAGCCGCUGUCGAACUCUGAACAAAUCAAUGACACGUCCAUUAGAUAAGGGAUCAUAUAUUCCUCCAUUCUAGAUAUCAUAUGGACUGAGACAUGGAUUAUAAUCAUUCUCUCUGUCCAUUUGUUGUUUCCUGAUUUCCGAUUUAUGACAACUGACUAAUUGAACAAAUCAAAUCAGUCCUGGCCCGGCCGAGCACUUCCAUUUGUCAUCAUCAAAUCAUCGAGGGGCCCACAGAUAUCGCUUUUAUCCCGAAGGUAAAAGGAACGGAUAAACUUCGACUCAUAUGGCUUGUUCUACUACUUGUUGAAUCAUACACAAA